UGCAAGGUGUUGGGAGCAGACCUCGGGC
rnacentral:sRNA from 1 species